UGUCACCUUCAGUCUAGUUGUGGAGAUAAAGAGAUGCUGGACUUGCUUUCACAGAGUGGAGGUGGGGGCAGGAGAGCCACUGGGAGAAGGGCGUGGAGUGGGGCACAGGCUGCCUGGCUGGGCCCCGAGGUUCCUGGGGGACUCUCCCCACCAAGCCCAGCACUUCCUGGAAUCGGGCACAAGCUUGGUUGUCCUGGUGGAUGGGCCCCGGGAGCUCCCACUGUGGGCACAGCUGGAGAGACCCUGCGAAGGUGCCCUACUGCGGCUCUGAGGCGGGUGAAGCCUGGGGGAAGACGGCCCCGGGCCCAGGGAGGCCUGCAGUGUGCAGCACUUCCCUCUGCUUCCCAGGACCCCGCAGCCCUGCUCCCGGCCAGCCAGCCCAGAGCCUGAGCUGCUGCCAGAGGCCGACUCCAAGAAGCUCCCUUCCCCUGCCCGGGCAACAGAGACAGACAAGGAGCCCCAGCGCCUGCUGGUCCCUGACAUCCAGGAGAUCCGAGUCAGCCCGAUCGUCUCCAAGAAGGGGUACCUGCACUUCCUGGAGCCGCACACGU
rnacentral:sRNA from 1 species